GGCCAGACUCCUACGGGAGGCAGCAGUGGGGAAUAUUGGGCAAUGGGCGCAAGCCUGACCCAGCAACGCCGCGUGAAGGAAGAAGGCCCUCGGGUUGUAAACUUCUUUUAUCAGGGACGAAACAAAUGACGGUACCUGAUGAAUAAGCCACGGCUAACUACGUGCCAGCAGCCGCGGUAAUACGUAGGUGGCCAGCGUUAUCCGGAUUUACUGGGUGUAAAGGGCGUGUAGGCGGGUCUGCAAGUCAGAUGUGAAAUCUCAUGGCUCAACCAUGGAACUGCAUUUGAAACUGUAGAUCUUGAGUGAUGGAGAGGCAGGCGGAAUUCCGUGUGUAGCGGUGAAAUGCGUAGAUAUCGGGAGGAACAUCAGUGGCGAAGGCGACUAUCUGGCACAUAACUGACGCUGAGGAGCGAAAGCGUGGGUAGCAAACAGGAUUAGAUACCCCUGUA
rnacentral:rRNA from 1 species